UACAGAGGGGGCAAGCGUUGUUCGGAAUUACUGGGCGUAAAGGGCGCGUAGGCGGCCUGCUAAGUCGAACGUGAAAUCCCCGAGCUCAACUCGGGAACUGCGUCCGAUACUGGCAGGCUUGAAUCCGGGAGAGGGAUGCGGAAUUCCAGGUGUAGCGGUGAAAUGCGUAGAUAUUGGGAAGAACACCGGUGGCGAAGGCGGCGACCUGGUCCGUGACUGACGCUGAGGCGCGAAGGCGUGGGGAGCGAACGGG
rnacentral:rRNA from 1 species